AUUCCAGGCGAACGUUCAUUGUCAAGUUAUUAAUAUUAUUAUUAUUUAUAGGUCUACCAGAAUCUGAUGGCAAAAAAAGGGAAAAAAAUAGCGAUUUUCAUAUGGCAAAAAAAAAUGCCAUCUGUGAAAAAAGUGAAAUUUCGAGGAAUUGUUUUUGGUUUGGCUUCAAAUUUCCUUUAAAAAGUGGUGAAAAUGUCGAAGAAACCUCUUCGAUCGCAAGUAUAGUUUUCAAUAUUUAUCAAAGAAUACUUGAUGAACAAGGUGCAGAACAAUCACAAUCAUUGGAUCACAUUGAGCCAUGUGCAAGCGUUGACUGGUGUUUCUAAUACUACCAUAAGACGAAUUGUUGCUGAAGGCAACUGAGGCGUAUUUAGUACCCCUGGUAAAAAGAGGAAAGGUGGCAAAAAUACUGCGCCUUCCUCGUCUUUCUCUUCCGAUUAAGACUUUUAUGGAUGUGCAGUAUUUGGAACCAUUUUCAAGUUCUGAUAGCUUAUAAUUAAUUAUUAAAUUCAUGAACAGAGUAA